GGGAUGUAUUUAUUAGAUUAAAAACCAAUGCCCUCUGGGCUCCUUGGUGAUUCAUGAUAACUCUUCGAAUCGCACGGCCUUGCGCCGGCGAUGGUUCAUUCAAAUUUCUUCCCUAUCAACUUUCGAUGUUUGGGUAUUGGCCAAACAUGGUUGCAACGGGUAACGGAGGGUUAGGGCUCGACCCCGGAGAAGGAGCCUGAGAAACGGCUACUACAUCCAAGGAAGGCAGCAGGCGCGCAAAUUACCCAAUCCCGAUUCGGGGAGGUAGUGACAAUAAAUACUGAUACAGGGCUCUUUUGGGUCUUGUAAUUGGAAUGAGUACAAUUUAAAUCUCUUAACGAGGAACAAUUGGAGGGCAAGUCUGGUGCCAGCAGCCGCGGUAAUUCCAGCUCCAAUAGCGUAUAUUAAAGUUGUUGUGGUUAAAAAGCUCGUAGUUGAACCUUGGGCCUGGCUGGCCGGUCCGCCUCACCGCGUGCACUGGUCCGGCCGGGCCUUUCCCUCUGUGGAACCCCAUGCCCUUCACUGGGCGUGGCGGGGAAACAGGACGUUUACUUUGAAAAAAUUAGAGUGCUCCAGGCAGGCCUAUGCUCGAAUACAUUAGCAUGGAAUAAUGAAAUAGGAUGUGUGGUUCUAUUUUGUUGGUUUCUAGGACCGCCGUAAUGAUUAAUAGGGACAGUCGGGGGCAUCAGUAUUCAAUUGUCAGAGGUGAAAUUCUUGGAUUUAUUGAAGACUAACUACUGCGAAAGCAUUUGCCAAGG
rnacentral:rRNA from 1 species